rnacentral:lncRNA from 1 species
GGAAGAAGAAGAAGAAAAAGAAAAAGAAAAGAAAAAAUUGCUCCGCCUGGCCUUCGCUUUUUUUUUCCGGCGGAAAAAAAAAAAGAACGAGAGAACGAAGAGGAAAGAGAAAAAGUAAUAAGGGUAUUUUGGUCAGUUUGCUAAAAAAGCGGAUCGAAUCUGCAAAAAUGAAAAAGGUGGCCCGAUUUUGCAAAAGUCCAAAAUAAGUGGAUUUUUUAUGCAAAUUGGCCAUGUUUUUUUCUUAAAAAAAGAAAUU